UAGGGAAUCUUCGGCAAUGGACGAAAGUCUGACCGAGCAACGCCGCGUGAGUGAAGAAGGUUUUCGGAUCGUAAAACUCUGUUGGUAGAGAAGAACGUUGGUGAGAGUGGAAAGCUCAUCAAGUGACGGUAACUACCCAGAAAGGGACGGCUAACUACGUGCCAGCAGCCGCGGUAAUACGUAGGUCCCGAGCGUUGUCCGGAUUUAUUGGGCGUAAAGCGAGCGCAGGUGGUUUAUUAAGUCUGGUGUAAAAGGCAGUGGCUCAACCAUUGUAUGCAUUGGAAACUGGUAGACUUGAGUGCAGGAGAGGAGAGU
rnacentral:rRNA from 1 species